rnacentral:snRNA from 1 species
GUGCUCAUUUUGACAGCACAUAUACUAAAAUUGGAACGACACAAAGAAGAUUAGCGUGACCUCUGCGUAAGGAUGACAUGCAAUUCAUGAAACAUUCCAUAUUUUU